GUUCGUUGUUCUUCAUGUUCUUGAGUUUCUGGAAAACGCGUGAGGAAGAGAGUGAAAUUCUGGAAAAUAAUGGAGUUUGAUCCGUUUUUCGGUUUGAAUUUUUAAGUUCGCUGUUUACCGCGCCAGGCUGAUGGUAAUUACAAGUAUGCCAUUAAUGAACCUAAUUAAUUAUAAUAUAUUCAAAUAAUUAUUAAAAAAUUCACCAACACCUUAAAAAAUUCAUAAAAAAUUAUUUAAAAGUCAGAAAAAUAUGAGGAUUUUUUCUAUGGUUUCCAAAU
rnacentral:lncRNA from 1 species